UACAGCCUACGGGAGGCAGCAGUGGGGAAUAUUGCACAAUGGGGGAAACCCUGAUGCAGCGACGCCGCGUGAGUGAAGAAGUAAUUCGUUAUGUAAAGCUCUAUCAGCAGGGAAGAAAAUGACGGUACCUGAGUAAGAAGCCCCGGCUAACUACGUGCCAGCAGCCGCGGUAAUACGUAGGGGGCAAGCGUUAUCCGGAUUUACUGGGCGUAAAGCGCUCGUAGGCGGUAUGUCAAGUCAAGGGUGAAAUCCCCGCGCUCAACGUGGGAACUGCCUUUGAAACUGGCAAACUGGAGUGUGUGAGG
rnacentral:rRNA from 1 species